GUCCAUGUGGUUUUCAAUAUGUUGGCAUGACAACAAGGUGUUUAAAGAUCAGACUGGCAGAACAUUGCCGCAAUAUCAAAAAAGGAUAUGAUAACCAUUCAGUGUCCAAGCACUUUUUAUUGCACAAUAAAGACCUAAGUGCUCUUAAAGUUACCGGGAUAGAAAAAGUUUCCAUGCCAUGGAGAGGAGGGGAUAUGAAAAAUAUUUUGGGGAAAAGAGAGAUGAAUUGGGUUUUUCAAUUAAAAACCCUAUCACCUCAAGGAUUAAAUGUUGAAUUC